UAACCUCAGCCAAGCCAGCUCCGCUAGACUCAAGAAGUAGGAACUGCUCGCCGACUCCAGCACCGUUGCCGCGCUCAUCCAGCGCCAGCGCGCCGACCAGUACCUGAGCACGCCACCCGACCCCGACCAGUGCUAGCGGACAUUAACAACUAUAAAACGGGCACCAACGCUCCACAGCCCAUCUUCUAUAAAGUGAUCCCGUGACCGUGAUCACCGUGGUGGCGGACAGUGACCCAUGAUCAUCGGGACAGUGGUCUAUGAUCGUAACAGUGACCAAUGAUCAUCGGAACAGUGGUCAAUGAUCGUAACAGUGACCAAUGAUCAUCGGAACAGUGGUCUAUGAUCGUAACAGUGAUCAAUGAUCAUCGGGACAGUGGUCUAACAGUGAUCAAUGGUCGUCGGAACAGUGACAGCGGCAGGACGCUCUAGUGACUACGCCUUGUGGUAUAUAUUGAAACCGAUCGGCGGUACUGGGUAACUACUCUCCUCGCUUCGCUCGUCGUCGCAUCUCGGCGAUGAAAUGCUGGUAACUGUGGAUUGGUCUGUAACAAAAUAUCCAUGUAGAAAUAUAGACACGCAGCGAAAUGUGUAUAAACUGUAAGUACAGUCGCCACCAGAUAUAUCGGAGCGGCCAAGGUGUUCACAAUAUCUGAACACGCACUCUCACGCCCUGACAAUAGAGGCGUGUUCAGAUAUUUGUGAGCGCCUUAGCUGCACCGAUAUAUCUGAUGGCGACUGUACACGACAUAAUCAAAUCGAAUUUUGAGUUUUAGAUCUAAUCAAGGACCUACAGUAAUACAACAGUCACUCUAGUGUUACAAGGGGGCCCUAAGUAUGAAGAUUCGGUAAUUGUUCGACCAUUUUCGUCCACUGACAUGACUCGCACUAUAUUACCGAAUUUGUAUGGAAAACUGUAAUUUUGAUAAAAAAAAUUAGGUACGCGAAAAUCGAAAUUUCGUUAUCUGCCCCACUAUCACUCGAAUAUGCAAGAGUGAUAGAGAGACAUAACGAAAUUUCGAUUUUCGCGGUAGGCCCUCAGUGGGGACGGGUGGACGAAAUUUGUAUCGCCGAAUGUUUGAUGAAACAAGUCAAAAUAUAGAAUAUGAACAAUAUCGAUAAAUUUCCUAUAAAGGUGUUUUAAUACUAUUCGUUAAACACCUCUAGAAGUGACAGAAACUCCGCCGAGUUAAAUAUGUAGUUAGUACGCAUACUUAUAUAAAAAUGUAGUUCUGUUGAUGUUUUUAUGUGAUCUAGGCUUAGCACAGGAGCGCCGCGACAGUAUCCCGCCCGCGAGAUAAACUACCCGUCCUUCUCUAACUAAUAAGAAAAAAGACGGGUAAUCUUGCUCGCGCGCGAGAUACUGUCGCGGAGCUCCUGUGCUAAGCCGACUGUGGUACGACAGUUGAACGUUAAUCUUUGAUAUGUCACUAUAGUAAAUAUUGUCAUGUUUAUACUUGCCAGAGCAAAUUGUAUUUUGUUUUCAUACACAUAGGACUCGUAAUAAUGUGAAAAGUAGUCCAAAACGUUCAGCUCUCGGUCCAUUAGUACCUAAAUAUGUGAUCUAAAUGUUGCGAGAAUGAUAUAGAUUUCAAUAUGAAUCACAAAGCGCCGGCAAGCUUGUAUUACUUAAAUUAUUUUUGUAUUAAAAUAUAUUAUAAAUCACCAUUCCAUUUGCGAAACCAACUGACAUUGCGGUAGAGUAAAAAAGAGAUAAUAAAAACAUUCUAAUGCAUUUGAAGCAUAUGUUGAUAAUCUAUUUUUAACCUUUUCGCCAACGGCGGAUAUAUCCGCACCGCAGGUUCAACGCCAAUGACGGAAUAAUCCGUCACAGACCACAGAGCAACUUAGACCUACGUCAUAAUGCAUAAAGUUCAAUUUCAGUUUUGACACUUCGGUGAUGUGGCGUCCGAGUGACAGCUUUUGUGUGUGACACGGCGUCGCACCCUACACUAUUAUAGUACAAUCAUUUUAUGACUAACUAAAUAAAAAAAAAUCUCGUACAGUAAAAAUAGAUUACCAUAUUAUCGGUCUUAGUUAUGACAACGCUAAUGUUUUUACCCAACUACGGCGAAGCCAAAAGUUGAGCUUCUAUGUGGCUGAGAAAAUAUCUAACUAAGUCCUAGCAUAGACUCCAUUUGUACUGUAGGCUUAGCAGGAGUAUACCACGACAGUAUCUCUCAUAGACUGCCCGUCUGUUCCUAACUGUGUUAAUUAGAAAGGGGCGGGUAGAUCUAUCUCGCGUCAGAGAUAGUUAAUGUCGCGGCAUACUUGUAUUAAGACUACUGAUGGCCAGGCCUGGCCAGGGCGAUGUUAAAAUCAUUGAAUGUGUUUCUUAUUGUUAAAACUCGGAUUGCCAUAUUGUUUUACCUUUCCUGUGGACUAAAACCGUGAGUUCGAACCUCGGUCGAGCCGUAUAGAGCAGAAAAAAAAUCAUUCUAAAAAAAUGAAAACUGAUGACGGAAAAAAUCGGUUAGGAUCCUAAUCAAACACACGAUAGGUUAAUCCUUUGACCGCUAAAACAGGCCACAGACGUGCACGGUUACAGUUUAAUAUUAACCUUCGUUCAUUCCAUUAUGAUUUACGAUGGUGCGAUAUAUAUAAUAGGCGUAGCGGUCAAAGGGUUAAAGGAUCCAAACUAAUACGAAUGCUAUAAUUAUAACUAAAACCGCACAGACUUUUGGCCGACUCGCUUCAUUCAUCUAGCUAUUAUAAUCAUGUUUAUACGAAGCCAUUGUAAUGUAGUUAUAUUUAUUAUUUACAAACCAAAUAUGCAUUGACUUAUUUUUAACUUUGUAACAAGUUACUCGUAAGGUCAUUACGGAUAAGUGUGGCAUUAGGGACAAGUGUGGCUGGUCUUCACAUUGGGGCCUGUUCACACAUUGAUUAGUGUUUAUUACACUUACCCGUAAUUACCUUAUGUGUUUGUACUAUUUGUUAUAUAAUACAUCUAUAUUGUGCAUCUCAAAGGAAUACAGUAAAAAGUAAAACGGAAAUUCAUUUUCUCGUACAAUAGGUCCCUAUUGUGUAAGAAAAUUAAAAUCUUGUUAUUCUGUUAUUGCAUUUAUUUGCAUAUAUGAGUAAAUAGUUGGAUCAUAUCAAAAGUUAAAAAUCGUAUGUCAUAUAUAUCUGACACGAUAACUUUGCAUGGUUUAUAAUAAGAUUGAUUAACUCCUCAACUUUAACAAAUUCCUUGAAAAACGUAAAAAAUGAAAGGUCACUCGAACCCAGCGUCAAAAAGCCGCUCCCAUACAAAUUUUAAAACGACGUACUUGAAUCCCAUGAAGUUUGGCAUGAACAGUUACGUCAAUAUAUCUGUACUUAUAUUUCUAGCAACGAACGCUGGUACCAGACAGAUUUAACUAUGUUACUAGAAUGUUCAUGUCAAAUAUCAUGUUAUUUUAAAAUGACAUAACUUGCGGCGUCUAGGUUCCUGUGACUCUUAAUAGCUUUUUAAACAAAACCAAUAAGAUGGACCAAUAUUAGGUGCACAUGGACUUAAAUUGAUCAAUUGAUAUACCGGGUGUGGCCUGUGACAUGAGCAAAUAAUUAAAACAUAGAUUGUACUCCUCAAACGGUGACACUUUUGUUCAACAACUUUUAAAAAUUAUGAAGUAUUUAGACUCCAUAUUUUUCAUACAAAAUAAAUAUUAUCUUCAAUGGACGCCAUCGCCACGCCAUAUAAUUCUGAUUGACGUUGCUUGUCAAGCCUUAAACAUAACAAAAUUCGCAAUACAUUGCGUCUUUGAAUAACCUUUAAAGUGUAUUAAAAAUCAAAGUACAAGUUAUUUUCAAAAGUCGCUGAACAAAUGUUGAUUAGUAUGAGGAGUACAGCCUACAGUUAAAAUUUUUGCUCUUAUUACAGGCCACACCCGGUAUUUGUUGAAGGCUCAAACAGUAGCUUGUUACUAAGAGGGAAUCAUGAGGGACUAGCCAUAGUUUAUGCCUUAACUAAUAGAUAUAACGUAAUGGACUAAUCUGGUUGACUACACGGCACUCGUGUUUAAGAGUUUUCUUUAGUUUUAAUUAAUAAUUUACUUCAAUCGUCGGGCUAAAACGCAAACACUCGUAGACUUGUCUUAAUUUAACUAAGUGUGCUAUUUUUUAGUAUAUAUAUACAGCACUGGUUGCUUGCUACUCUAACUUAUAGCUGCGUCUCUUUUGCCCGGCGGUUGAGGAAAAUGUAGAGCCUAUCAUUAGUUGCGUGCUUGGCGUGCCAAAGGUGACAAUAGUUAUUUGUACAACAAGAGAUCAAAGUUUGAUAUUUCUUCGAGUGCUUAUUUUGAGUCCCGUGCAAGCGAAAGAUUCUAUAAUAGAUUCACGAGCGUAGCGAGUGAAUCUAAUUUAGAAUCUUGAGCGUAGUAAGGGAUUCAAAAGCGCACGAGAUGUAAAUAACUUUGAUCUCGUGUAGUACACAAAAUUUUUCACCCUAAGCAGUGAGAACAUACCUAGAGGGACAGAGAUAAUAGAACCCAAAUAUAUCGAACUUUGUAUUAGACCCCGCAUGUUGAAAUGACAUUUGACUAUAAAAAUCACUUGAAUGACAUUUUGUCUCACUCAGUGAGCAAAAUGCGAUUUUGCUCACUGAGUGAGACAAAAUGACUCAGUGAGCAAAAUCGCAUUUUGCUCACUGUUUUUAAGAAGCAAAGUACCCUUGUUCGAGCUGCUGAGGUGAAAAUAAGUGUUUCGAUUCACUGUUAGACGCCAAAAUGAUUUAAGGUCAAUAGGGGUAAGUGUGGCUGCGGGGUAAGUGUGGUUAACCUUCAUAUUGGGGCCUGUUUACACAUUGAUUAGUGUUGGGGCGCCCCAGUAUCACACUAGUAUGUAACUCCUAUACUAAAUACUAUCAACGUGUGCAGUGUGACAGUAGGGCGCUCCAUGGGUUAAUAGCAAAUGUAUGUCUCGCAAUAAACGCUAAUCAAUGUGUAGACAGGCCCUUAUGUGAAUGCCAGUUCUAGACUUGCCUCAUAGCUACACUUACCCGUUAUUGAUCUAACUACUUUAAAAGUCUAUUUGGAGUGAUUUGAGUAUAAAAAUGUGUUUUCAACCUUAUCAAAAGUAUGACCUUAUAAAAACAUUGUUAUAUAUUUUUGAGAUGUUGAUUGGGACAUUUUUAUACUUGUCAAUAUAUAAUAUGCAUCAUAAAAAUCAUGAUAAAAUUAAAAAUAUAACAUUAACAAGACAAUUUGUAUAAAUGAAAUGUGUGUAGGUAGCAUAUGAAUGUAAAGAUUGAAUGAGCACAUUUUUUACAUUAUUUAUUUUAUAUAUUUUAAUCCAACGUGAAUGUGUUUUUAAAUUAACCGAAUAUAAUUAUACUUACGGUUAUGGAUAGGUAUCUAAAUGCAUUCGUUUUUAUUUAAUGCCUUAUGACAGUAACGUUUAUUUUUAUGUACAUGUUUAGGAUACAAGUUUAUGAAUGAAGCAAGUGACUUUUGGGGAUAACUUUUGUUUUUAUUUAUUCUCCAUCUAAGAUAAAACCAAAUAUGCAAAUAAGUUUCCAAAAACACCCGCAUAUAUGAAUGUUAAAGUUCAAUAUAACUCGCAUUGCAAGUACAAAUGGUUAUAGGCGUAGAUUUUUUACAUGUGUAGUACAGUAGGUGCCUAAAAUUUGAUAAUUAUAUUUAGAUAGAACUAACAAAUUUUGGGACGCGCAUUAACACAUCGCUGGCCCAAUAUUACAGGGUUCUAUGUUUCACUCACUCACUCACUAUUGUCAUACGAGUAGUGAUAUUAAGUCGAAUUUCAACUACUUAUCUUGAUGUAACAUAGAACCUUGUAAUAUUGGGCCAGCGACAUAACACUGCGGCAUAUGAAGGCAGGCAAUUUACCACGGUGCAAAAUAUUUUUUGAACAAUGCCCUGAGCUGGUGCAAAAUGCGAACACAUACUAAGUAUAAGUAAAACACAACGGAAUGAUUGUGUCUCACGACAUUUUUAUUGAGAAAUGAAACUACUGGAAAAAAAAAUCCCACCUUUUACCACUGGUAACUACUGAGAAAAAAAAUUCCCAACCGAGUUGGUGGUAACUAAAUCGGAAUUAUUUUUCCCUGUAGUUAUCAGUGGUAAGAGGAGAAAAAAUCCCAGUAGUUACCACUGGUAACAACUUGGUGGUAACUAGCGGGAAUAACCCCCAUGCUGCCCCUAUAAUAUGAAAGUGUGACGGCUAGCACUGUACAGUUAACUGCCAUUUAGGUCUAAAUUUGUAACAAAUCGCUGCCCUUAAUACAGCUAGCAUUCCUAACAAAAUCAACUGUUUUAUGGUGCUUUCAUGUAUAAUUCACAUGACCAUAGGUUAAAUGAUGGCCUACACAACUGUGCCAGAAAUCUUUUAUUAUGAUAUUGGCUAAGGGCACAAAUACAAAUACUACAUAUCCAUGCAAACAAAGUGCUCCGCUUUACCCUCUUAAGGCUCACAGUCCUAGCUACAGAUGUAGUGCACAAUUGUCUUCCAUCGUAUUUUCUCGGAUUUGUUCAUAUGUGCCAUGCUACUUCAGUCAACCUCAGUACAUUUUGUACCGAGACUGACUGAAAUAGCAAGACACGUUCGUACGUAGGUACGUACGUUUCCGUGAAAAUACGAUGGAAAUUAAUUAUCCACUACAUCUGUAGAGUCUAUUCAGUUUGAUGAAAUUAUUAUAUCUGUCCAAGCCGCGUAGCCAAGAUGCUAAUCGCUUACGCUCCGUAGCGAUCGAUACGCAACUGUCACUGUCGCGCUAAUAUGGAAGAGUGAUAGAGAGACAUAAUUAUUUUUGUUGUCGAAGCGAUAGCGAUUGUAACCUUGGCUAGGCCGGCUGGCUUUGUAUAAGUACCUACAUUCCUUACUUUACUAUUUAUUUUGAGAACAAUGCGCCAUAAUUCUGACUUCACUCAAAAUCAAUAUUAUUUAUAUGUCUGAACUUUUUUGUUUUGUGUAUGGAUGGAGUCCCCAAAAGUCGCUUGCCAGUAUGUUCGUGGGUGUUGCACGUAUGGAGACACUUAGACAAUCAUUUGCCACGCUGUUCGAUAAAUUGAUAAAUUUUGUAUAAAUAUUUAUAACGAUAAUGUAACUGUUGAUUAAAUGUAACAGAAGAUAUAAGGGUGCUUAUGAUUAUCGUUAUAAUACAAAGUUGUGCAUAUA